UGCGGCGCUAUACAUGCAGUCGAACGGUAACAGGAAACAGCUUGCUGUUUUGCUGACGAGUGGCGGACGGGUGAGUAAUGUCUGGGAAACUGCCUGAUGGAGGGGGAUAACUACUGGAAACGGUAGCUAAUACCGCAUAACGUCGCAAGACCAAAGAGGGGGACCUUCGGGCCUCUUGCCAUCGGAUGUGCCCAGAUGGGAUUAGCUAGUAGGUGGGGUAACGGCUCACCUAGGCGACGAUCCCUAGCUGGUCUGAGAGGAUGACCAGCCACACUGGAACUGAGACACGGUCCAGACUCCUACGGGAGGCAGCAGUGGGGAAUAUUGCACAAUGGGCGCAAGCCUGAUGCAGCCAUGCCGCGUGUAUGAAGAAGGCCUUCGGGUUGUAAAGUACUUUCAGCGGGGAGGAAGGGAGUAAAGUUAAUACCUUUGCUCAUUGACGUUACCCGCAGAAGAAGCACCGGCUAACUCCGUGCCAGCAGCCGCGGUAAUACGGAGGGUGCAAGCGUUAAUCGGAAUUACUGGGCGUAAAGCGCACGCAGGCGGUUUGUUAAGUCAGAUGUGAAAUCCCCGGGCUCAACCUGGGAACUGCAUCUGAUA
rnacentral:rRNA from 1 species